AUUGAACGCUGGCGGCAGGCCUAACACAUGCAAGUCGAGCGAACCUAGCUUGCUAGGUGAGCGGCGAACGGGUGAGUAACGCGUAGGAAUCUGCCUGGUAGUGGGGGACAACGUUCCGAAAGGAACGCUAAUACCGCAUACGCCUACGGGGAAAGGUGGGGGAGUCUUCGGACCUCACGCUAUCAGAGGAGCCUGCGUCGGAUUAGCUAGUUGGUGGGGUAAAGGCUCACCAAGGCGACGAUCCGUAGCUGGUCUGAGAGGAUGAUCAGCCACACCGGAACUGAGACACGGUCCGGACUCCUACGGGAGGCAGCAGUGGGGAAUAUUGGACAAUGGGGGCGAACCCUGAUCCAGCCAUGCCGCGUGUGUGAAGAAGGCCUCGG
rnacentral:rRNA from 1 species